rnacentral:hammerhead_ribozyme from 1 species
AUCCCUUGACGAGUCUCAGAUAGGACGAAACGCGCGUCCUGGAU